UACGUAGGGUGCAAGCGUUGUCCGGAUUUAUUGGGCGUAAAGAGCUCGUAGGCGGUCUGUCGCGUCUGCUGUGAAAACUCAGGGCUUAACCCUGAGCUUGCAGUGGGUACGGGCAGACUAGAGUGCGGUAGGGGAGACUGGAAUUCCUGGUGUAGCGGUGAAAUGCGCAGAUAUCAGGAGGAACACCGGUGGCGAAGGCGGAUCUCUGGGCCAUUACUGACGCUGAGGAGCGAAAGCGUGGGGAGCGAACAGG
rnacentral:rRNA from 1 species